CCUACGGGUUGCACCAGUGGGGAAUUUUGGACAAUGGGCGCAAGCCUGAUCCAGCAAUGCCGCGUGCAGGAAGAAGGCCUUCGGGUUGUAAACUGCUUUUGUACAGAACGAAACGGCUCUGGUUAAUACCCGGGGCUAAUGACGGUACCGUAAGAAUAAGCACCGGCUAACUACGAGCCAGCAGCCGCGGUAAUACGUAGGGUGCAAGCGUUAAUCGGAAUUACUGGGCGUAAAGCGUACGCAGGAGGUUGUGUAAGACAGGCGUGAAAUCCCCGGGCUCAACCUGGGAAUUGCGCUUGUGACUGCACGGCUGGAGUGCGGGAGAGGGGGAUGGAAUUCCGCGUGUAGCGGUGAAAUGCGUAGAUAUGCGGAGGAACACCGAUGGCGAAGGCAAUCCCCUGGGCCUGCACUGACGCUCAUGCACGAAAGCGUGGGGAGCAAACAGGAUUAGAUACCCUAGUAGUC
rnacentral:rRNA from 1 species